rnacentral:rRNA from 1 species
UACGAAGGGGGCUAGCGUUGCUCGGAAUCACUGGGCGUAAAGCGCACGUAGGCGGAUUGCUAAGUCAGGGGUGAAAUCCUGGAGCUCAACUCCAGAACUGCCUUUGAUACUGGAGAGCUUGAGUCCGGAAGAGGUGAGUGGAACUCCGAGUGUAGAGGUGAAAUUCGUAGAUAUUCGGAAGAACACCAGUGGCGAAGGCGGCUC